rnacentral:rRNA from 1 species
GACGAACGCUGGCGGCGUGCUUAACACAUGCAAGUCGAACGGAAAGGCCCUGCUUUUGUGGGGUGCUCGAGUGGCGAACGGGUGAGUAACACGUGAGUAACCUGCCCUUGACUUUGGGAUAACUUCAGGAAACUGGGGCUAAUACCGGAUAGGAGCUCCUGCUGCAUGGUGGGGGUUGGAAAGUUUCGGCGGUUGGGGAUGGACUCGCGGCUUAUCAGCUUGUUGGUGGGGUAGUGGCUUACCAAGGCUUUGACGGGUAGCCGGCCUGAGAGGGUGACCGGCCACAUUGGGACUGAGAUACGGCCCAGACUCCUACGGGAGGCAGGAGUGGGGAAUAUUGCACAAUGGGCGGAAGCCCGAUGCAGCAACGCCGCGUGCGGGAUGACGGCCUUCGGGUUGUAAACCGCUUUCGCCUGUGACGAAGCGUGAGUGACGGUAAUGGGUAAAGAAGCACCGGCUAACUACGUG